CCUGCUUUAGCUGAUGUGGUCAUAGCGGCGGUUUGAAGAGCCGUUGAACUUGGUUCGAUCCCAAGGGGCAGGGCCA
rnacentral:tRNA from 1 species